rnacentral:lncRNA from 1 species
UCCUGCCCGUAAAAAAAAUGAAGCUAUAUUAUUAUUAUUAUUGUGUUGCGUGUAUGUAACAUGACUCGUUUAUAAUGUACUGUAUUUAUUUACAUAUUGUUUACGAAUAAAACGUGUGUUUGUUUAAACUGUAUAACUACUAACUACUCGCCAAGAACGCCAAGAACUUGCUUGCAUACUUGGGGCCGCUUAAAAUGUUAAAUCCAGUGAAAACAAUUAAGUUUUGUAUGUUUAUUGAUAAUAAUGAUUCUAACUAACAUUAUGAUAAGUAGUAUAAUAUCGAAUAAUAAUAUUUGCAAGUUGCACCCGAUCAGUGUAGUGAGUGAAAUAAUAAUAUUAGGAUUUAUUUUUGGAUGUUGUGUGUGUUCGUGUUCGUGUGAUACAAAUUUUAUCGAUGCAAGAAGUGUGCGGACCACCGGCCCCGGGCCCUCUCAACCUUUAUGCGAGUACCUACAUACAUACAUACAUAACUGUGCACCCGUACCGGCACCGUCUACUAUCUACUGUCGUCAAUUAGGAUGCAGUAUGGAUCGCAGACACAUCUCAUCGUCCAGUUUUCCAGUUUCCACCAGCCAUACCACCAGCUAUGACCAGGCACCAGACGCCAGCGGCGCUUCCUCAACGUUAUGCUUAAACGCCACACUAUAUAUGUACAGGGUGAAGGUUUCUUUUUAUAAUAAUUUAUAAAUAAUUAUAUAGAAAAAGUUAAAAACAAUUUUACCUGUGAAAAUUUUAUUAUCUAAAAUGUUCCAGUUUAACUGUAAUAGAUGGCGCUGUACCGUAACUUGAAUGUUUUCAAAAUUAUAUAUUUUUAUUGUGUACCUACCUUGUAAUUAUAAUUAUUAUAAAUAAAAAAUAUUAUAUCGCACGUUCAGAAUCGAAUCGUUACUAAACGGAA